AUUGAACGCUGGCGGCAGGCCUAACACAUGCAAGUCGAACGGUAACAGGAAACAGCUUGCUGUUUCGCUGACGAGUGGCGGACGGGUGAGUAAUGUCUGGGAAACUGCCUGAUGGAGGGGGAUAACUACUGGAAACGGAAGCUAAUACCGCAUAACGUCGCAAGACCAAAGAGGGGGACCUUCGGGCCUCUUGCCAUCGGAUGUGCCCGGAUGGGAUUAGCUAGUAGGUGGGGUAACGGCUCACCUAGGCGACGAUCCCUAGCUGGUCUGAGAGGAUGACCAGCCACACUGGAACUGAGACACGGUCCAGACUCCUACGGGAGGCAGCAGUGGGGAAUAUUGCACAAUGGGCGCAAGCCUGAUGCAGCCAUGCCGCGUGUAUGAAGAAGGCCUUCGGGUUGUAAAGUACUUUCAGCGGGGAGGAAGGGAGUAAAGUUAAUACCUUUGCUCAUUGACGUUACCCGCAGAAGAAGCACCGGCUAACUCCGUG
rnacentral:rRNA from 1 species